GUUUUUCUGUAUGUCCAUGUUAACAUCACGAGCUCCCGGAACGCCGUCACCUGUAAGCGCGGUGAGGGUCCCGCUCCGGGGAGCAGAUUUGGAAUCUAGUCCCAUUCCUUCAGGCCGGAUUUAUCGCAAGGCUGAGUAUUCAGGCUAACAGUCAGACGGAGAGGGGGAAGAGUUUGAGAAUAAUGGGUGAUGCACUGUGUUCCCGUCCGGCUGGGCUGCACAGAUACUUAGCCGGUGAUGAACUGGUGCACCUUCUAACAUAUACGAGGUAAUAAGGCCUCUGCUACAGAUGUCUUUGAAUGCAGUCAAGUCGCUGUUACGAAAUGUUUCCUUCCUUUCAGGGGAUAUAAUUAGAUCAGGGGCGACAGGAACUAGGGUUUCUGAUUCAGGGAAGACCACUGUCGCAUCAGCAAGAUUGUUUUUCCCAUUGGCAGAGUGUCGCAUAGACAGGAUCUGGCAGAAUGCGAUGGAAUCGACAAACCAGACAUGAAAAAGCCGGAGGUUGAGAUAGACAGGAAGGGUCUGAAAGAAAGCCACUGUACUCGCAGGAAGUGACAUCACACAACAUGCAGGCUUUGAGGGAGGUUCAGCUCUCCAUGGAGACAUCCUUAUCUACCAUGCAGCCUGUUUAUGGGCGUUACCUCUGUUUGAGAUGAAUGCCGAGGCAGCGUUUGAUCUGUGAGGACUGGGGGUGGGCUGACCCGCUGGCAAGUGGCACUUCCUGUCCAACCAGAACUCCGCGUGGCACGUUUCCAUGGAAACACUUCCUGAUGUUUGUAAAGGCACAACCGGUGAUGCUGUAAGCAGCACUCAUCUCCUUCUCCAUCCAUCCAUCCAUCCAAACAUUACUGUACCUCACUGCAGAAUAACCUUCCGUUCAGCGGCUGGUAACAGCAAGCCGCGUCCCACCUCACUCUGCAGGCCUGUGAGCCUUCCUCGCCUUCCUCGCCAUCCUCGCCAUCCUCCAAGGCAUCGCCCUAUCGUUUGUCUUCCGCUUUGCAAAUCCAGUCAGUUCUCUGUCAGACAGUGCACGGUGUGUAAAUCAGACGUACGUACAUCAGAAACAACCUCCGUGGCUGGGGAAACAGGGGACGGCCAAUGAAACAUGACGAGGAGUGGAGCGGAGCGUUGGACCGGGACGGUGUGGAUUUCUUGGGGGAACUUAGGGAGUGAACUGAGGUUAUCUAGAGAGCAGGACCACUGGGGCUAGACUAUGGUUCUGCGCCUCUGGAAUGGGUCAUAUUCUGCUAUCAGGAUGAAAACAUACGAAUGUAUAAUUUGUGCAUCUCAUAAAUAAAAUAUAUGAGAUCUAAAUGAAAACCCCAACCAUGAAAUGACAGUUAUUACGAGUCCUGUAGGAUGAGGCCCUGUGUUCUCUUCCCACAGUAAUAAUCAGGAUUGAGGUCUAAUUUCACGCUCUCCCGAUGUUUUAUAGUGGCACCGUUAUGUAACUGUGACUGGCCACUGGCAAUACGCAGCCUUACGUAAUGACACAACACAGUGGCCACUGUGCCGGGUCCCCUCAGAGUGGCCCGUGUUUUUCCAUCAGUGCACAAUCACAAAGUCGUGGCCACACUGAGCGCCAUUUACGGCGAUGAGCAUUUUUAAUGGGAUCCGUAAACAGCGUCCUUGCAGUGUUACUGUGAGCGCACCACGUGCAAACUGCACUAAUUUUCAUAUGCAACAGUGUUGUAGAUAAGAGCAUAGGACCGGGGGUGUAAAUGGGGAGUGCUCUUUAUUGUAAGGCACCUGUGCGACAGCGCCUCCUGCAGGAAGCCAGUGAUCCCUCAAGCUCGCUUUCUGAUUGACUUGACUCUCAGUCCCCUAUCCUGUCAAUUGUGUUGUCACCUCUUGGCAGACAAGUCCUCCAGGCAUUCGGAAAUAAAUC